rnacentral:rRNA from 1 species
GACGAACGCUGGCGGCGUGCCUAAUACAUGCAAGUCGAGCGAAGUUUUUUUGGUGCUUGCACUAGAAAAACUUAGCGGCGAACGGGUGAGUAACACGUAAAGAACCUGCCUCAUAGACUGGGACAACUAUUGGAAACGAUAGCUAAUACCGGAUAACAGCAUUAACUGCAUGGUUGAUGUUUGAAAGUUGGUUUUGCUAACACUAUGAGAUGGCUUUGCGGUGCAUUAGCUAGUUGGUGGGGUAAAGGCCUACCAAGGCGACGAUGCAUAGCCGACCUGAGAGGGUGAUCGGCCACACUGGGACUGAGACACGGCCCAGACUCCUACGGGAGGCAGCAGUAGGGAAUCUUCCGCAAUGGGCGAAAGCCUGACGGAGCAACGCCGCGUGAGUGAAGAAGGAUUUCGGUCCGUAAAGCUCUGUUGUUAGGGAAGAAUGAUUGUGUAGUAACUAUACACAGUAGAGACGGUACCUAACCAGAAAGCCACGGCUAACUACGUGCCAGCAGCCGCGGUAAUACGUAGGUGGCAAGCGUUGUCCGGAAUUAUUGGGCGUAAAGCGCGCGCAGGUGGUUUAAUAAGUCUGAUGUGAAAGCCCACGGCUCAACCGUGGAGGGUCAUUGGAAACUGUUAAACUUGAGUGCAGGAGAGAAAAGUGGAAUUCCUAGUGUAGCGGUGAAAUGCGUAGAGAUUAGGAGGAACACCAGUGGCGAAGGCGGCUUUUUGGCCUGUAACUGACACUGAGGCGCGAAAGCGUGGGGAGCAAACAGG